UCCUCAUUCUCAUCUAACAAUCUUCCCUUUCUUCUCCGAAGAGUCGCUGGCACCACCACCACCAUCGUCCCUCGUGCCCAGCUCGUGCCCGCCACCACCGCCGUCACUCCUCACUUUCUUCAAACACUGAUGUUGCUUUGGGGUUUUUUGCUUUGGGGUUGUCGACGAAAAGAAUGCUGUGAGCAUCAAACAUGUUUGUUAAUUUUCAGAUUCUUUUCAUGGGUUGUCUUGGUCCAUGGACGAGAGAUCGUUGAAAGAUGCGUUUUCUUCCUUUGGGGAGGUUACUGAAGGUAAUCGUGCAUGUUGAGCUUAACCCUUUGAUUUACCAGUUGUAGUCUACGUGUUCGACGAAAUGUCUAGUUGAUUUCAGACCUCA